rnacentral:misc_RNA from 1 species
CCAAAAUCACCUAGCAAGAAUUGAGCAAAGCAGAAACAUGGCAGCAGCUGAUGCCAAGGCCAAAGCUCAGGCGACUAUUGAUGAGAUAACAACCAAGGGGGGCGAGCUCAGUCAGGCCACUCAGGAGAAGUUGGCGGAGGCAGUGAAGAUCCUAACGGAGAAGAAGGACGAGACGGUGAGCUACUUGGGGGAGAAGAAGGACCAGACGGUGAACUAUGUCCAAGAGAAGACUGAGGCAGCCAAGCAGAAGCGGUCUGAGAUGGCGCCGACAGACGGCGGUACUGCAGAGGCCGGCAAGGAGAAGACCGGCAACUUCUUUCAGCAAGCGGGAGACACGGUGAAGAACGCCCUGGGAAUGGGUGAAAAAUAAGAUGAUAAGUCCGCCGAGUAGCUCUUGAUGAUGUAGCUGCUGUGGUAUUGAUUAUGCAUUCAUAUUGGCUGAUUGCUUUGAAUUGAGUUUGGAAUUGUAUUUGCU